CCUACGGGGGGCAGCAGUGAGGAAUAUUGGUCAAUGGACGAGAGUCUGAACCAGCCAAGUAGCGUGAAGGAUGACUGCCCUAUGGGUUGUAAACUUCUUUUAUAUGGGAAUAAAACGUUCCACGUGUGGGAUUUUGUAUGUACCAUAUGAAUAAGGAUCGGCUAACUCCGUGCCAGCAGCCGCGGUAAUACGGAGGAUCCGAGCGUUAUCCGGAUUUAUUGGGUUUAAAGGGAGCGUAGGUGGAUUGUUAAGUUAGUUGUGAAAGUUUGCGGCUCAACCGUAAAAUUGCAGUUGAAACUGGCAGUCUUGAGUACAGUAGAGGUGGGCGGAAUUCGUGGUGUAGCGGUGAAAUGCUUAGAUAUCACGAAGAACUCCGAUUGCGAAGGCAGUUCACUGGACUGCAACUGACACUGAGGCUCGAAAGUGUGGGUAUCAAACAGGAUUAGAUACCCGUGUAGUC
rnacentral:rRNA from 1 species